rnacentral:rRNA from 1 species
CACCAGGUUGAUUCUGCCUGACGUAGACGCUAUUCCCUAGGAUUAACCCAUGCAUGUUUUUGACAUUUGAAAAAUGGACUGCUCAGUAAUACUCACUUUAUUUUAUGUAAAUUUUUAAUUAACUACGUUAAAGUGUAGAUAAGAUGUUUACAGUAAGAGUGAGACCUAUCAGCUAGUUGUUAAGGUAAUGGCUUAACAAGGCUGUGACGGGUAACGGUAUUACUUUGUAAUAUUCCGGAGAAGGAGCCUGAGAGACGGCUACUAAGUCUAAGGAUUGCAGCAGGGGCGAAACUUGACCUAUGGAUUUUAUCUGAGGCAGUUAUGGGAAGUAAUAUUAUAUUGUUUCAUAUUUUAAAAGUAUAUGAGGUGAUUAAUUGGAGGGCAAAUCAAGUGCCAGCAGCCGCGGUAAUACUUGUUCCAAGAGUGUGUAUGAUGAUUGAUGCAGUUAAAAAGUCCGUAGUUUAUUUUUUUAAGAAGCAAUAUGAGGUGUACUGUAUAGUUGGGAGAAAGAUGAAAUGUGACGACCCUGACUGGACGAACAGAAGCGAAAGCU